rnacentral:lncRNA from 1 species
CAUUUAUAUAUGUCAGCCAUACCGUGUGAUGCGUUUUCAGAUUCAUCACUUGACAACUUCCUGUUUACCGAACACUUGUCUGAUUUUACACCUGAUAGCCAAGUUGAAAAUUUUCGUCACAUUUUUCUCAGGAACUACAAUACAAGGAUUUCUGAAAUUUGGUUUCAGGAUUUAUAUAAGUCAGCUAUACCGUGUGAUGCGUUUUCAGAUUCAUCCCUCGACAACUUCCUGUUUACCGAACACUUGUAUGAUUUUACACAUGAUAGCCAAGUUGAAAAUUUUCGUCACAUUUUUCUCAGGAACUACAAUACAAGGAUUUCUGAAAUUUGGUUUCAGGAUUUAUAUAAGUCAGCUAUACCGUGUGAUGCGUUUUCAGAUUCAUCACUCAACAACUUCCUGUUUACCGAACACUUGUAUGAUUUUACACAUGAUAGCCAAGUUGAAAAAUUUUCGUCACAUUUUUCUCAGGAACUACAUACAAGGAUUUCUGAAAUUUGGUUCAGGAUUUAUAUAAGUCAGCUAUACCGUGUGAUGCGUUUUCAGAUUCAUCACUCGACAACUUCCUGUUUACCGAACACUUGUAUGAUUUUACACAUGAUAACCAAGUAAAAAUUUUCGUCACAUUUUUCUCAGGAAUACAAUACAAGGAUUUCUGAAAUUUGGUUUCAGGAUUUAUAUAAGUCAGCUAUACCGUGUGAUGUGUUUUCAGAUUCAUCACUCGACAACUUCCUGUUUACCGAACACUUGUAUGAUUUUACACAUGAUACCAAGUAAAAAAUUUUCGUCACAUUUUUCUCAGGAACUACAAUACAAGGAUUUCUGAAAUUUGGUUUCAGGAUUUUUAUAAGUCAGCUAUACCGUGUGAUGCAUUUUCAGAUUCAUCACUCGACAACUUCCUGUUUACCGAACACUUGCAUAUUUUUACACUAUUAAUAUUAUCCACUUGCGGCGGGGGUAUCAUCAGUGAGCAGUAGCUCGCAGUUUCACUUGUUCAUUCUAUUUC